UUUGUAAUUAGGUCUUUCCACUUUUCUGUGGAAAGACCUAUUGUAUUUCUUCUGAUUAUUAUUAGGUCUUUCCACUUUUCUGUGGAAAGCCUAUUGUAUUUGUUCUGAUUAUUAGGUCUUUCCACUUUUCUGUGGAAAGACCUAUUGUAUUUGUUCUGAUUAUUAAGUCUUUCCACUUUUCUGUGGAAAGACUUAUUGUAUUUGUUCUGAUUAUUAUUAUUAAGUCUUUCCACUUUUCUGUGGAAAGACUUAUUGUUUUUCUUCUGAUUAUUAAGUCUUUCCACUUUUCUGUGGAAAGACUUAUUGUUUUUGUUCUGAUUAUUAAGUCUUUCCACUUUUCUGUGGAAAGACUUAUUGUUUUUCUUCUGAUUAUUAUUAUUAUUAUUAUUUUUUUUUUCCGCCAAAUUUUGUUCUUGCGAUAAAUGUUUGUUUCGCAAUAUGUCGCUUAGAUAUUUCUCAUAUGGUAUCGUAUAGUUUAUGCGCUUUUAAAUUUUACCCUUCUAAGCCGAACCAUUUUCUUUGUAAGAGUUAUCUCCCUAUUCACUGUUUAUCAUCUGUGUGCAUCUCCUUCGUAACAAAAAAAGAUAGCGACAAAAUUCUUUUUACAAAUUGUUCGUUACAUCCUCAGUAAUUUUUGGCGCAUUUGGAUCGAAGCGAUUCGAUGAAAUUUUAUAGGAGUUAUCUACCUUUACAAAAUAAAUUUGUCGGUAUGUUUAGUUAACUCAUAAACCGUUAACCGUAUAACCCUGGAAUGUUUUUAUUUGAGUCCAAUGGGUCCCAACUUAGAAAAUGAGGUCAAGGUCAAAGGUCAAGGUCAAGUUCUAAAUUGUGACUUUUGCUUGUUUUUGCAUUUUCUCCGACACUUUGAGAGAUACACAUAAAAGAACAAGUGCAAAAUGUCAGCUUUAUUGUAAUGAAGAUAUGUUACAUUUAGUCUUAUACAAUUAAAUGGCAUCUUAUAGGAGUUGGUGCCCCUGAAAUGUCUUGAUAUGAAGUUAUUUGAUUAUAACUUCAAUUAAGUUCAUUAUAAAGACAUUUGACCUCAUACAAAAGGUUAAGUGACUAAUGACCUUGAAAAAUGGCUACCGGAAGUGACCUUUAGAAAACCGGAAGUAGCUAUUUUUGCAAUUUCUUUCACCUAAAAGUACCCAGAAUCCAUAUAUUUUGUCAUAUAGAUACAUGAACAGAUUACUGAAGACUAAAAAUGACUUCCAACAAACCGGAAGUGGCCAAUUAUCUCCCAUUCUACAUACAAAAGUAUAUAGAAACUAUAUAUUUUUGGAAUCAGUGUGAAAAAGCUAUCAUAUGAGACCGGAUGUGACAUUAAUUUCACCGGAAGUAGCAUAUUAUCUCCCUUAUAUCACUCAAAAAUAUAAUUAAACCAUCAUUUAUCGCAUCAGUAUAAAGAAACUACCUUCUUAUCCAAAUUACUUUAGUUUGGAAAGACUUUCAAUUGUUCUCUGAACAAUUGGUUUUUAAUUAUUAUUAUUAUUAUUAUUAUUUUUUUUUUUUUUUUUCUUCCGCCAAAUUUUGUUCUUGCGAUAAAUGUUUGUUUCGCAAUAUGUCGCUUAGAUAUUUCUCAUAUUGUAUCGUAUAGUUUAUGCGCUUUUAAAUUUCACCCUGCUAAGGCGAACCAUUUUCUAUGUAAGAGUUAUCUCCCUUUUCACUGUUUAUACUCUGUGUGCAUCUCCUUCGUAACAAAAUAAGAUAGCGACAAAAUUCUUUUUACAAAUUGUUCGUUACAUCCUCAGAAAAUUUUUGGCUAAUUUGGAUCGAAGCGAUUCGAUGAAAUUUUAUAGGAGUUAUCUAUCUUUACGGAAUAAAUUUGUCGGUAUGUUUUUUUAACUCAUAAACCGUUAACCGUAUAACCCUGGAAUGUUUUUAUUUGAGUCCCCUGGGUCCUAACUUAGAAAAUUAGGUCAAGGUCAAAGGUCAAGGUCAUAUUUUAGAUUUUCAUAUGUCUUUGAUUUCCCUAUAAUUCUUGAAUGGUUAUAGAUACAGAAAAUUUAAGCAGUG
rnacentral:lncRNA from 1 species